rnacentral:rRNA from 1 species
ACUAGCAGUAAGAGUUUGAUCAUGGCUCAGAACGAACGCUGGCGGCAUGCCUAACACAUGCAAGUCGAACGGGAUCAUGGGGCUUGCUCCAUGAUCUAGUGGCGCACGGGUGAGUAACGCGUGGGAACCUGCCCUCGAGUGGGGAAUAACGACGGGAAACUGUCGCUAAUACCGCAUACGUCCUUCGGGAGAAAGGCUUCGGCCGCUCAAGGAUGGUCCCGCGUCCGAUUAGCUAGUUGGUGAGGUAACGGCUCACCAAGGCGACGAUCGGUAGCUGGUCUGAGAGGAUGAUCAGCCACACUGGGACUGAGACACGGCCCAGACUCCUACGGGAGGCAGCAGUGGGGAAUAUUGGACAAUGGGGGAAACCCUGAUCCAGCAAUGCCGCGUGAGUGAAGAAGGCCUUAGGGUUGUAAAGCUCUUUCAGACGUGACGAUGAUGACGGUAGCGUCAGAAGAAGCCCCGGCUAACUUCGUGCCAGCCGCCGCGGUAAUAC